rnacentral:lncRNA from 1 species
UUCCCUCUUUAUUUUCUCUCUCUGAAGCUAGAAAUCAAUGCCAAUCCUUUCAUAAAUCAAAUAUGUUUUCCAGUUUGUAUUUUUAUUAGUUUUGAUCUUUAUUUUUUUAUUGUUAUUUUUUUUAAUGCUUUUUGAAGUUUAAUCUUUUUUCAAAUUCAUCUCUAAAUAUUUUAUUUUAUUUUAUUCGAUUUGAAUUUCAUUCUUUUAAUUUUUUUUAUGUUUUAUUAUUUUCUUGAUUUUUUUUAAUUUCAUCUCUCAUCAUUUUAUUUUUUUUAUCCAAUUUUGGUCAUCAUUCUUUUAAUUAAUAUUUUAUUAUUAUUUUAUUGAUUUUUUUUUUCAAUUUUGUUCCUCUACAUUUUAUUUCAUUUAACCUUUUUUCCAACUUUGGUUCUAUUUUUUUAUUGCUAUUGUUUUAUCAUUUUAUUAAUUUAUUUUAUUUCUCAAUUUAGUUUUUUAUACUAGAUUCGGUCCUCGUUAUUUUGAUUUUUAUUUUUUUUGUUUUUAAUUUUUUUUAUGAUUGGAAUUUUUACUUUGUGGUUUUUUACAUGUUUGUCUUUCUAUAUGAUAAUCACGGUCUUAUAAUCCGAACUCAGUUUAAAUUCGG